CUACAUCCCCAACCGGUUCUCUUUCUCUCUUCCUCUCUCUAUCUAUUUUUUCUCCCUCUCUCUCUUUUCCAGCUUACUCCCGUGAGCUCUCCUUCUCAUUCCUCUUCAAAACCUGCAACAAAUCAAACACAAAAUAUUAUUUUUGUAAUCCCUGGAGCUCAAGGAACCCAACCAUGGCCUUGCAUACGGCAUCGGUGCAUGGUGCGAGGUCCUACCAUUGAAGCCGAGAGCUUAAGCUCUCAAUCUCUAACCCAAGUGAUGUUUCUAUCACUGUAUUGUGUUAUUGAACUUUAAAUCAUGUUGUGUUGCAAUUUUGUGUGGUUAAUUCGAGGGCUUAAUUCCUUGCAUGUGAUUCCGACAAAGGAAAACAGACAACUUCGACGAGUUCAAGGUCCAAUCUCGGUGAAAUCUCUUGCAUUUCACCUGGAUUUUUUGACGAACUCGGGCCAUCACUUUUAGGCCAUUUGCCUUCUCCCUCCGUGGCUCCUUUCAUCCCUGACGUCAGCAUGGCGUCAUACGGGCCGGUCCCAAGGUCUAUCAAUUUUGGGCUGGCCUAGAAACCAGCUUGGGCUAGGUGCCAAGCUAUCAUGUGGGCUAGAUAGACUUCCCUAGGUGCCAGGCAAUUUUUUUAGCUGUGUGCCGGCCUAUCCCACCCCCGAUGGAAGUGCUCUUAUAUAAAAACAGGUGAACUGCUAAUUUAGUCCCUGAAUUAUCACCUCAGUGAAAAUUAGGUCCCUAAACUUUUUUUUUCAGAAAAAUCAAUCAUUGAAUUAUAAAAAUCUACCAAUUACAUCGCUAAUAUUAUAUUCAAAGCUACUAUAUUCAAUUUUUUGUUAAUUUAAGUCACGUUACUUGCAUGUAGUACACAAUGAAUGGUAGAUUGGUAAUUUUUCAUAUAGAAAUAGUGUAUGAAGUUAAUUUUGGAGGGUAAUCAAUUGAUAGUUCUUCAUAAGAAAUAGUGUAAGUUAACGUUGGAGAGUAAAUUAGAUGUUAGAUUCGCAACUAUAUGAAAUGUUAAGGGCUUAUAGGCGAGAAAAUAACGGUAUUACACUCUAAAGUGUGUAAAGUGACUUCAGUUAAUGAAAAAUUGGAUAAAAUAGCUCUGAAUAUAAUAGUAUGGAUGCAAUUAGCAAUUUUUAAUGAAUUUAGGGACUUAUUUUACCCAAAAAAUAAUUCAGGGACCUAAUUUUCACUGAGAUGAUAAUUUAGGGACUAAAUCGGUACUUCACCCCAUAAAAACACAUGGUAUGCCACUCUUGUUCUAAUCAUAAAGAAAAAUUUCUCUGGAGAUAGGGCGUUUGUGCCUUUCCGCUUUUAUUUCUUGUUGUACCUUCUUUGUUUGCUUAAAGAAUGACUUUUGGAAGGAAAAAAUGAUAUACGAACAUUGUUUGUAAUUUUUUUAUAUUUUAAUUUAUUAUCAUUAAGGGAAAGGAAGAGAGUUCAAUACUA